GCCGGGGUGGCAGAGCGGACUAACGCGGCAGGCUCGAGACCUGUUGAUGCCUUGAAUUACAAAGCCUGCGUGGCUUUUAUGAGGAUGCAUCGCUUGGGUUCAAAUCCCAACCCCGGCG
rnacentral:tRNA from 1 species